ensembl:snRNA U1 U1 spliceosomal RNA
AUACUUACCUGGCAGGGGAGAUACCAUGAUCACGAAGGUGGUUUUCCCAGGGCGAGGCUUAUCCAUUGCACUCCGGAUGUGUUGAUCCCUGCGAUUUCCCCAAAUGUGGGAAACUCGACUGCAUAAUUUGUGGUAGUGGGGGACUGCGUUCGCGCUUUCCCCUG